UUUAAUUGAAGGCUGGAAUGAAUGGUUGAACAAAAAAUAUCCUGUCUCACUAUUAAAAUUAAAAUUUGACUUUUAAGUAAAAAGGCUUAGAUAAUAUAGAAUGACGAUAAGACCCUAUAAAGCUUUAUAUUAAAAAAAAUAAUUAAUAAGUUUGAAUUUAAAAAUUAUUUAUUUUAAAAAUAUUGUGUUGGGGCGACAAAAAUAAAAAUUGUAACUGUUUAUUUAUUAAAAACUAUAAUAAAAGAAAAAGUGAUCCUUUAGUAAAGAUUAAAAGAUUAAGUUACUUUAGGGAUAACAGCGUAAUCUUUUUUAAGAGUUCAUAUCGACAAAAAGACUUGCGACCUCGAUGUUGAAUUAAGAAGUCCUUUUGGUGUAGCCGUUAAAAAG
rnacentral:rRNA from 1 species